AACGUAGGUCACAAGCGUUGUCCGGAAUUACUGGGUGUAAAGGGAGCGCAGGCGGGAAGACAAGUUGGAAGUGAAAUCCAUGGGCUCAACCCAUGAACUGCUUUCAAAACUGUUUUUCUUGAGUAGUGCAGAGGUAGGCGGAAUUCCCGGUGUAGCGGUGGAAUGCGUAGAUAUCGGGAGGAACACCAGUGGCGAAGGCGGCCUACUGGGCACUAACUGACGCUGAGGCUCGAAAGUGUGGGUAGCAAACAGG
rnacentral:rRNA from 1 species